UACGUAAGGGGCAAGCGUUAUCCGGAUUUACUGGGUGUAAAGGGAGCGUAGACGGCUGUGUAAGUCAGAUGUGAAAACUUGGGGCUCAACCCCAAGACUGCAUUUGAAACUAUGCAGCUAGAGUGUCGGAGAGGUAAGCGGAAUUCCUAGUGUAGCGGUGAAAUGCGUAGAUAUUAGGAGGAACACCAGUGGCGAAGGCGGCUUACUGGAC
rnacentral:rRNA from 1 species